UAUAGAGUUGAAAUCCAUGUACAUAAAAGAAAUUGUUAAUCCAUGUAUUAUUAUCACUACAAGAAAACAGAUAAACAACGACUACAGAAAGCGACAACAAAUGUAGUCGUCGUUUUUGACGACUACGUCACGACCGUUUUACGACGCAUAUACGACAACAUGAACAUUAGUAGUCAAUUAGUCGUUAUUUUACGACUAAAUAUGUUAGUCGGCAAAUACUCGUAUAGUAACAACUAUUUAACGAUUAUAUUAUAUUAGAAAAACGUUUGUUGUUACAUAGUCGCAAAUGGACGACUACAGUUUCCGACUGCGGAAGUUAGUCGCCCAAUCGGCGACUAAAAUACGACACAUAUCUGUAAUCGUAAACUAGUCGCAACUGAAUCGCAGAAUAGUCGCAUUAAGUUGUUGGAAAACGUUUUCCGCAUUGCCAAGUAGGUACACCUAAUUUGUUUGUUGUAGUCGUAAAUUAGUCAUAAAAAUUCGUCUAUAUAAUCAAAAUUCACGACACUCUUCUUUCACAAACAAAUCAAAACAACAAUCAAAAGAAAAAAACAAGAAAA
rnacentral:sRNA from 1 species